AUGGACAGUUUUUAUGUCUGUGAGUCAGGGAUGCGCACUGCAUUUGCAGGGAAAAGUCCAGAAUUAACAUUCUUACAUGUGCUAUUUCGGAAGAACAAACUAAAGAAACAUCUCAACUAUUAUUGCUCUGCAGCGGCCCCUGCUGGUAAAAGACGCUAUACAAUUUAUCCUUUGUCCGCUCUGCUUGUCAAGCCUGAAUUUCCAAGGAACCAUGCCACAGUCUAGCCGCAAUUAACCUCCAGCUUCAGCAGAUCCUAGAAUGGGGCUGCCUAACCAUCUGCAGGGCAGCAACUAUUCCUUGUUUUCAGUGUGGAAAGAGAAUGCCAGAGGAAUACAUAUUUUGUAUGAGUCUUUAUUUUUCUUGUUUCUAGAGCACAUAAGACAAAAGGGAUUUAGAAACUGCGACUAAAAUGAUAAAAGGAAAUCAAUGCAGCAAACCGUAGACCACCUGAAAAUCUUCAGUUGAAGCACAAGUUGUGGCAUGAUGUCAAAAAGGCAUUCUUUUCACAGAGAAGGCAUACUAAAUUAUGCUAGUGCUGACUGCUCUUCCAAGGACUGUUGAUAGAUGCUUACGAGAAGAAAAUCUUCCUUUCUGGUUGACCUUAAAAGCUGUCUUACCCCAGGUCUUAAACGUUUAAAUGUGAAUAUAAAACAUUUUUUCAUUGAUCUCAUAAAAAAAAUUUUCAACUUGCUCUCCUUAGUUGUUGCUUAUCAUCUGCCCAUGCAUAUAGAAAGAUAUAUGUGUAUAUAGAGAUGUAAAGAUAUAUUAAUUCUCAGCUAAAGAAUAAAUACAUUUAUCAUCAGAAUGACAGACCCAGAGUGGAAAAUAUCCAGGUGAUUGCAAUUUGUUUUGCCAUGCACCCACGAAAACUCCCUGUAGUGAAAAGAAAAUAGAGCAGUCAGGUUAUGAUAAUAGAAUAUAUCUAUUUUUCUCACAUUUAUCAUUAUAUUUAAGCCAAUCUUCCCAAACAGAGCAAAAUGUGUACAUUUGUAAUAGGGAUACUAUUCCCCCAGGAUUGAGUUAAAUGGGGCAGGGGAAGCUGCAAAACUAAUCUACAUGAACUUGAGUUGUGUAAUAAGGAAAACAAGACUUUGAUUGUGAGAAAUAAAAGAGCCAAGAACAAUGGGAGACAGGAAACAGGACACAGAAGACAAUUUAAUUUAAAGAUUUGGAGUAUGUGCCUAUUUUGGUAUCAGGAAAUGUAUCGUUAAAAGGAAGGGCAAAUAUGCUUAAAACAAAGGAAGAUUCAUUUUUUUUUUUUUUUUUUUGUAUACAGCCUCAACAGAAAUAACAUCCCUUCAAAAGAGUAGCAUCAGGGUUAUUUCCAAUUCAUGUUUGAUGAAUAUUAUAAUUUUAUUUAAUAGUGUACCACUAGAUGUGUCAGCUACCCAAUGACUAUGAACCAAGCCAGGAAUUCCAGGUAGAUUAGGCUAUUCCAGGUAGGUAGGUAUUGCAGGCUUCUCACUUAGCAAUAUCACGCAACAGGCAAACCAGGAUACCAGAGGCCACCAAAGCAUGGCUAGAGUAGUGCCUAUUUUAAUGAAAUAGAAUCACCCAAGUACUUUUGUUUUCCUAUUUGAAAACCAAAUUUGGCCUCAAAGAGCCAUCUGAUAUAACAAAGCAGCACAAUCCAGGCUGAUGCAACGAUAGCCUCUCAGGCAAAGCCGCUAAAUAGUUGUACCUUUCAAAGAAAAUGAAGACAAAGAAACCCAAACCAGACACUGCAUGUUCCCUUGGUAGAAAAGAUACACUUUCAAGUUGUGACAAGGGAUUCUGACAUAUGGCAAACCUUGACAAAGCAUCAGGGUACAGAUGAGCAACCGUUAAGUCAUCUGACCUUCGUCUGUACUCUAUUUGGCAGACACUCACAAAAAUACUACCCAAGAAAUAUCACUUCCAUAAAGCAAUGCGAAAAAGUCACUAAUGUAUUAUCAGAUCCGGCAAGGGGAAUGUUCUAGAAUUUAUUCACUGUUAAUGAAUUAACAAUAGUAGGGGUAUAUUUAUAUGCUUUUGUCCAAAAAAAAAAAAAAAAAAGGAAAAGACAAGACAGGUUUCAUUAUGCCAAUGGGUAUAUGCUCCUGUGACAACCUUCUUGGCAGCGAUUAUAAAAGCACAAUCUUGGGGGGAAAUGUCAUGAGGGCUCAGCUUAUUAAAUUUUGUAAAUCAUAAGGUUUGUCUGCAAAUGCGGAGCACUGCAGCUGAUUUAGUCGUUGGCCUAAAAACUCUGCUGUUAGGAUCAUUAAACAGGUCCAGAGUUUAAGUUGCAUUGUAAAUUACACUCAAAAGAAGCAGACAGAGACUUUUGCCUUCAUGUUUUCUGUCUGUGAACAGUCACCACAGCAGCCCUGUGAGAUGAUGUCAGGAUUUUACAAUGAUGUAUCAAACUAGUGCACCUUGAUUGAGCCUACCUGAGACUACUGCAGAACUCUCUUGUGAAAUUAAAUAUAAAAAAAUAGAGAACCAAAUUAAAUUAGGCUUUUUCUACUUGAAAAAUCUUCACAGCUGGAGGAGAUACAACCAAUAUUCUUUUUAGGUUAUGCCAGCUCUUACAGUUACUUUCAACAAAUAGCUAUCAUUAGAAAUAGCAAGGACAAUGCAGUUGAUCGUUUAAAAAUAAAGGGUUGUCAUUUUGAUUUUUUUUUAUUCUUAAAAGGAAUAAUGAAUUGCCUAUAGCUACUAUGACUGAAACACCCCUUUAGAGGCUACAAAUAAAUGAAGGCAUAAAGAAAGCAAAGUCAUAUGUCAAAGAAAUCUGAUCCAAUUAAUCAUUCUGUGUAGCAAUUCUGUCAUAAAACUUUCUAAUGUUUUGUUUCUAUUGAGAUGUAAACUGUUAGCUAGUAAUUUGGAGCCUACUCAGUUAUUUAAUGUUCUAUUAAUUUUUUAAAAUAAAGUUUUUUCAUGCAAGACUAAGUUUUUGAAAGUUUCUAG
ensembl:lncRNA